rnacentral:rRNA from 1 species
UGCACAAUGGGCGAAAGCCUGAUGCAGCAACGCCGCGUGAGUGAUGACGGUCUUCGGAUUGUAAAGCUCUGUCUUUGGGGACGAUAAUGACGGUACCCAAGGAGGAAGCCACGGCUAACUACGUGCCAGCAGCCGCGGUAAUACGUAGGUGGCAAGCGUUGUCCGGAUUUACUGGGCGUAAAGGGUGCGUAGGCGGACCUUUAAGUGAGAUGUGAAAUCCCCGAGCUUAACUUGGGGGCUGCAUUUCAAACUGGAGGUCUAGAGUGCAGGAGAGGAGAGUGGAAUUCCUAGUGUAGCGGUGAAAUGCGUAGAGAUUAGGAAGAACACCAGUGGCGAAGGCGACUCUCUGGACUGUAACUGACGCUGAGGCACGAAAGCGUGGGGAGCAAACAG